GAAGGAGGGAAGGCCCGCACCCCUCACCCGACCCAGGCUGACCCUCUUCACCCACCUGCCCCACGGAGGGCCCCUAACCUCCGCUCACCUCUGCCUCUGCCCCUCCCACUUCCCCCAGUUUCACAUCCUUCAACUCCAUUUUUGCUCCCUCCCCUCUGCUUUUUCCUCAGGCCCUUGGCCCGAGCUUCUCUCCCCUCCUCGCAGCCUGGGCCCCCAGACCUGCUGUGCUUUCCCUUCCAGGCCUCUGUCGCCUUACUGCCCCCCUCCCUGCGACGGGGUCUCCUUUGUUCCAUCUCGGCUGGCACCUUAGGGCUUCCUCUAAGUCUAGCUGUGUGGCUCCCUCCUUCCUCUUGCUCAGGGACCCAUGUGGCCUUCCUGCCAUGUUGCCCAGCUGCGUGGGAUUAGUGUUGGGGAGAACAAGAACUGACAUUCACUCUGCCCCCACCCCCCGUGGCCAGUUGACCCAGCUGGUACGCAGAUGUCCUUUCUCAGCGUUACCUUUGAAGGAGAGUUUUUAUGUCUGGGUUCCAGGCCUCUCAGACCUGCUGCCUCCAGCUCCUUGGCUUCUGGGCCACAUCCUCCUCUCUUCCCCUGGCCCAGGCACCCUCUCAGACCCCUGUUUGAACCUGGGGAGCCCAGCAGCCUGACUGAAGGCAGCCCCUUGGUGUGCGCCUUCCCCUGGCUCCAUGUCCCAGUUCACAGGUCUGACCACUGUAACCGUAUUGCACUGAUUCUAAGCCUCAUCAGAGGUUAGACACACCAUUAUUUUACUAACAGCCUGGGGGAUAGAAGGAUAAGAAGACCCCUAAAUAUAGUAUGGAGUACUCUACUACACAAAUGUUAAAAUUUUUGAAAACUUAAGACUUCGAGCUGAAGAAAUAGGGUAAUAAUAAGAAUCAGUGUUUACAGAGUGCUUGCUAUAUAUGCUAGACACCUUCCUGAGUAAGUGCUUGACAUCCAUUGUUGUAGGGUUUCCUUUCCACGAUUUAAAGAUCUCUGUGAAUCUGCCUGGCCCAGGUGGUGUGUAUUUAGGGGCCAGGAGUGGGCUGGUGAGAGUGAUUUGCUGCCUCUGAAUGGGACCACCCCCUAACUGUGGUGCUAGGGCCUAGCAGGGCUCCUUAUCUGAAGUGGUCACGGAAAGUGGACUGCGCGCCUCUUAGGAAAUGGGCCUCUUUCUUGGAAAGAGGAGAAUUGGAACGUCUGGUCCCUUGCUAUGCUGUUGGUAUUUUUUUCAGUAAACUCAACUGUAUGUGGUUGUAGAGCUCAUUUGUUGGUGUCUGUUUUCAAACUCAGGCUACCUCUUCCCUUGAGUAGCUUUUUCGCUGGUUACCGAAGUAGCCAUGUGGUCCUGGAGCGUUAUUGCUAAGUGAAACCAAUAAACCAUUUUACCUCCAAUUUAUGUGUAAACACUCAUUUAUGUGUUUACACUCAUGCGUGUAAACACUCACGCAUGCCUCUCCAGUCCCACCACCUGAGUGUGCCAUUUCUCAGCAGCUCUUCAUGCUGCUUCAGUGGUGUCAGCACACCCGAUCAGGGCGGGCAGGGGGAGAAUGUUGAACGUGGACUUGGAACACCUGAGGGGACAUCAGGUGUUUAGGAGACAUCAUGGGCCUGAGCAUGGUAUAAACCCUGAGAUGGGUUUCUGCUUUGAGUCCGUGAGAGGUCUUUAAUGGCCGUCGAUGGACUCAACUGAGAAGAUUAUUGUAUCUUCCGAGUGCUUAGCUUCCAGCUGACUCAUGUGUUUGCUUGGCCUCUUGCAACCCAGAGUUUUCCAAUGAGUUGCACAGCCCGAUACUGACCUGGCCUACUUCUGGAUGAGGGUUGCCACUUCCAAAGGUGUCUUUUCCCCAGUGCGUGGAGUGACAGUCCCCCUCCCCCUGAAAAAAAGGCAAAAGGAAAAUGGGAGCAUGAAAGUCUGUGGGGAUGAACCAGUCAGAGGGAGGGGAGAGGUUUAGGUGGAAAGCGGGGGUCUCCCAAGAGUGACGGGGGAGUUAGCCCUCUAAGCAAGCUUGUGUCAGGGAGGGCGCUGGCCGGCCCUGCAAUGGUGAAGAAGGCUCUGAUCCCAUUCAAGGGCCAUUUUCCCGGUGAGGCCCUGCUGGGAAGCCAGGUUGCUCACCUGUCACUUUUGUUCUGAGGUUCCUUGAGAAGGUUUGGUUGUGGGCCAGCAAAGGGCUGCGCUCACACCACUCUGGGCCAUGGGAGUGUGGCCCCUGCCCUUGGCUGAUGGUAUGAGGAUCUUGGGUAGGAGACUAUGGAAGGAUCUGGCAGUGGGGGGAAGAAUUCUGCAACCCUGCCCAGCUGGCCUCAGGCAUUUAAUCGGACAAGCUAGGGCUCAUUUCUUCAGGGACUUGCGGGGUAGGUUCUCUGGGGCAGUGGUUGCCAUCGGAGCAGAACACUUGUUUCUAAGGACCUGGCUCACCUCUUUCUCAUCCAGAGCAUUUCUUACUUGCCUCACUGUGUUUGGGAAAUUGCAUUCCUCGUAGACCUUGAUUACUCUUCACUGGCUAAUCAAUCAGCAAAUAUUUAUCGAGUGACCUCUGUGGGCACAGCGUAGUUUGCAUUGUAGCUGGGGAAUGAGCUAACAGGGCAGGAAGACUGGCACCAGGAAGAAGCUGUGUUUGCAAAGGGCCAAAGGAGCGGCUCGGUUAUUUCUCGUGGCAGGAAUUCAGGGAAGGGGAAAGUCGCAGGCAGAUCUCUGGUCACCGAAAGCCUCCUGUCAAGCACUUUUGUACUCUCCCAGUGCCUGGCACUUUGCGAAGGGCCUUUCCAGCUCCCCCUCAGAUGGUCAGGGGUUGGAGUCUCCUGAGGAGUGUGCAGCCCAGGUCCCUCGCACGUGCAGUUCACUGUAGGGUUCGAGUACCCGGGAGAAUCCAAUGCCACUGCUGAGCUCUGAGGUGGAGCUCCGGAGAGUCAGAGCCGAGUCUGUGGUAGUGACCAUGAGAAUGGGUUCUCUCUUUCCUGGGAGGUUGUGACAGAGCAGACAGCAAAAGUAUAAAGGAAGCAUCCUGACCCCGGCAAGGUGAACGAGGGAGCCCCAGGGCAGCUCGGAGGCCUCUCAGUCCUGUCCUUGUUUGUGAAGCAGGGAAACGACGGCCACCUCCAGUGGGGGGGGAAUGACGCGGGGUCACCUGUUGUGUCCUCUGGUGCUCUCUGAAGGCCAGCUUUCUCUUCUCUCUCUCCCCCUGUGUCUUCAGAGUCUGUGUGCCCCAGUGGGCAGCGGGCACUGGCUGCUUUGGCCCAAGGGGUGGUGACUUCCGUUCUUGGAGAGGAGCAGAGCAUUAAGGCCCACGGUCCUCGGCCACCCUCCCCCGGCCCUCGCCGGUGGAAGGAUGCGAAAUCGCCUCUCCUCGGCCCUUCGGUCUAAUUCACUUACUGGCUUUUUUGAGCACCCCUGGGCCUCUGCUAUGGGUCUCCCCAAAUAAGGUGACCAGAGCUUUAGAUGCAGAACAGAAGGAACUGACUCGGGCAGGGGAAACUACGGGAUAAAGGCCCAGGCCCUCUUUCCUGUGAUCCAGGGCAAAGCCUUGUACCUGGGCAGCUCUGCUCUCCUGCACUUACAGGUGACUGGUGUUAACCUCACCCCCGAUCUGGACCCUCAGGAUAUUACUCUGAGGGUCCAGCCAGAGCCACUGAGAGCCCUUCUGGGCCUGGACGACUGUGUCACCAGUCAGCAGUCACCGUGCACCUAGCAUGUGCUGUGUGAUGGGGAAGCUGGGCAGUGGGGAUGCAACAAUGAAAAGUCAUUUAGAGAUGGACGGGCUGGUGACCGUGUGGUAGGAACACAGGCAGGGCCCUGGGCCUUGGACUGGGAGGCAGCUCCUCCUGGCGGGAAUCGUGUUCAAACUGAGUUGUUCCUGACAAACAGGAG